GGCUCUCUGGACCACAUUGACGCUGAGGCACGAAAGCGUGGGUAGCAAACAGGAUUAGAUACCCUGGUAGUCCACGCCGUAAACGAUGUCAACUAGCCCCCGGCCUCCCUCUUCAGGUCGGUGGUGCAUCUUACGCAUUAAUUUAACUGGCUGGGGAGUUUUGUCGCGGUGUUGAUGCUCUGAGGAAUUGACAGGGGCCCAUUCCAGCGGGGGAGUUUGUUGUUUAAUUCUAUGCAACGCGAAAAACCUUGCCCGGACUUGACAUGUGUCGAAAUUGCCGCAUCCGUGUUGAUUCCUGGCCGAGAUUAAACACUGAUACUGCUGGCCUGUCUUCGGCUCCUGUUAGGAGAUGUUGGGUUCUUGACCCCAACCAUGGCAACCUCUGUCCCUUUUCGCCUUCUCGUAAUGGUGGGAACUCUUGGGAGACUGCCGGUGACAAACCCGAUGAAGGUGGGGAUGACGUCGAGUCAUCAUGGCCCUUAUGACCAAGGCUACCCACUUGCUACAAUGGGCACUACUCAGGGAAGCAAAAUCCUGAGAUCAAGCAAAUCCCACAAAGCUGUCCGUAGUCCGGAUCGGAGUCUGCAACUCGACUCCGUGAAGUCGGAAUCGCUAGUAAUCGCGAAUCACGAUGUCACGGUGAAUACGUUCCCGGCCCUUGUACACACCGUCCUUCUCACCUGGAGAGCUUGAUGCACCUUAAGCAGGUAGUCUAACCGAAAGGAGGGCUGCUUGCCACGGUGUGGCCGAUGACUGGGGUGAAGUCGUAACAAGGUAACC
rnacentral:rRNA from 1 species